GAUGAAGAACGCAGCGAAAUGCGAUACUUGGUGUGAAUUGCAGAAUCCCGUGAACCAUCGAGUCUUUGAACGCAAGUUGCGCCCGAAGCCACUAGGCCGAGGGCACGCCUGCCUGGGCGUCACACGCCGUUGCCCCCCCAUCUACUCCUUCGGGAUUGCGGGGGGGCGGAUGAUGGCCUCCUGUGCGCCUAGCCGCGCGGUUGGCAUAAAUACCAAGUCCUCGGCGACGCACGCCACGACAAUCGGUGGUUGCGAAACCUCGGUUGCCCGUCGUGUGCGUUCGUCGCGCAUCGAGGGCUCGAAAAAAUGCUCGGCUCCGGCUGGGCUUUCAACGCGACCCCAGGUCAGGCGGGGUUACCAGCUGAAUUUAAGCAUAUCAAUAAGCGGAGGA
rnacentral:misc_RNA from 1 species